rnacentral:rRNA from 1 species
UCAUGGCUCAGAUUGAACGCUGGCGGCAUGCCUUACACAUGCAAGUCGAACGGCAGCACGGGGGCAACCCUGGUGGCGAGUGGCGAACGGGCGAGUAAUACAUCGGAACGUGUCCUGUAGUGGGGGAUAGCCCGGCGAAAGCCGGAUUAAUACCGCAUACGAUCUGCGGAUGAAAGCGGGGGCUCCUUCGGGACCUCGCGCUGCAGGGGCGGCCGAUGGCAGAUUAGCUAGUUGGUGGGGUAAAGGCCUACCAAGGCGACGAUCUGUAGCUGGUCUGAGAGGACGACCAGCCACACUGGGACUGAGACACGGCCCAGACUCCUACGGGAGGCAGCAGUGGGGAAUUUUGGACAAUGGGCGAGAGCCUGAUCCAGCAAUGCCGCGUGUGUGAAGAAGGCCUUCGGGUUGUAAAGCACUUUUGUCCGGAAAGAAAACCUCUUAGUUAAUACCCGUAGGGGGAAUGACGGUACCGGAAGAGUAAGCACCGGCUAACUACGU